rnacentral:rRNA from 1 species
UACGUAGGGUGCAAGCGUUUAAUCGGAAUUACUGGGCGUAAAGCGUGCGCAGGCGGUUUUGUAAGUUUUGUCGUGAAAUCCCCCGGGCUCAACCUGGGGAAUGGCGAUGAAGACUGCAAGGCUAGAAUCUGGCAGAGGGGGGUAGAAUUCCACGUGUGAGCAGUGAAAUGCGUAGAGAUGUGGAGGAACACCGAUGGCGAAGGCG